rnacentral:rRNA from 1 species
GUGCCAGCAGCCGCGGUAAUACGAGAGGCCCAAACGUUAUUCGGAUUUACUGGGCUUAAAGAGUUCGUAGGCGGCGCGGAAAGUAGGGUGUGAAAGCCCUCGGCUCAACCGAGGAAUUGCGCUCUAAACUGUCGCGCUCGAGGAACCUAGAGGUGAGCGGAACUGAUGGUGGAGCGGUGAAAUGCGUUGAUAUCAUCAGGAACACCGGAGGCGAAGGCGGCUCACUGGGGGUUAUCUGACGCUGAGGAACGAAAGCCAGGGGAGCAAACGGGAUUAGAUACCCCUGUAGUCC